AAGAUAUGGAUAAUUUUGUGAAUGCCUGAAAGGUGACUAGGAUCGUGAGAAAGAAAGGCCAUGGCAAUGAGAAAUUUCUAAAGUUAAGAAAAUAAUCAAAAGUUCAUUGACCCAUCUAUACAACAACAUGUGUAGCUAAAGUAUUGGAAUUCAGUGAUUUCCUUUUGUCCAAGCAUCACACUAACCAAAGGUCAAAAUGGAGCUCUAUUAAAGCAAUAUUAAAUGUGAAAGGUUUUGUUUAUGCAGUGCCGUGGAUGCAAGAACAACUUUGCUCUCAUUCCAUCACUGGAAAGGCUUCAAAUGCCUAGCUUAAUUCAAAGAAAAGGAUGCAAAACCAGAGCCAGAGAAAGUUAAGAGUAUAUAUGCUGUGUCUAAAGUAUGGUGCAAAAAGGUUUGAGGGAAAAGAGGCUGACAUAUGACAAGUUAUGGCACC